rnacentral:rRNA from 1 species
CUACUAGGGUUUCUAAUCCUGUUCGAUACCCGCACCUUCGAGCCUAAACGUCAGUUGGGAUAUGGUACGCUGCCUUCGCAAUCGGAGUUCCUCGUGAUAUCUAAGCAUUUCACCGCUACACCACGAAUUCCGCGUACCUACGGCCCACUCAAGCAAGCCAGUUCGCGCAGCAGGACCGUGGUUGGGCCACGGCGUUUCACUGCACGCUUGACAAGCAGUCUGCGCUCCCUUUAAACCCAAUAAAUCCGGAUAACGCCGGGACCUUCCGUAUUACCGCGGCUGCUGGCAC